rnacentral:rRNA from 1 species
CAGCCGUAAACUAUGCUCGCUAGGUGUCAGGCAUGGCGCGACCGUGUCUGGUGCCGCAGGGAAGCCGUGAAGCGAGCCACCUGGGAAGUACGGCCGCAAGGCUGAAACUUAAAGGAAUUGGCGGGGGAGCACAACAACGGGUGGAGCCUGCGGUUUAAUUGGACUCAACGCCGGACAACUCACCGGGGACGACAGCAAUAUGUAGGCCAGGCUGAAGACCUUGCCUGAAUCGCUGAGAGGUGUGCAUGGCGUAGACGUCU